rnacentral:rRNA from 1 species
UACAGAGGGGGCAAGCGUUGUUCGGAAUUACUGGGCGUAAAGGGCGCGUAGGCGGCCUGUUAAGUCGAACGUGAAAUCCCCGGGCUCAACCCGGGAACUGCGUCCGAUACUGGCAGGCUUGAAUCCGGGAGAGGGAUAUGGAAUUCCAGGUGUAGCGGUGAAAUGCGUAGAUAUCUGGAGGAACACCGGUGGCGAAGGCGGCAUCCUGGACCGGUAUUGACGCUGAGGCGCGAAAGCCAGGGGAGCAAACAGG